AGGCUUAUAGUUCAGAGGUAGAACACACUGCUCAUAACGGUUUAGUCGCAGGUUCAAAUCCUGCUGAGCCUA
rnacentral:tRNA from 1 species